rnacentral:rRNA from 1 species
UUAGGAAUAUUCGUCAAUGGGGGAAACCCUGAACGAGCAAUGCCGCGUGAGUGAUGAAGGCCCUAUGGGUUGUAAAACUCUGUUGUAUGGGAAGAAUGACUAUAUGAGGAAAUGCAUAUAGAAUGACGGUACCAUACCAGAAAGCUCCGGCUAACUACGUGCCAGCAGCCGCGGUAAUACGUAGGGAGCGAGCGUUAUCCGGAUUUAUUGGGCGUAAAGCGUGCGUAGGCGGUUUAUUAAGUUUAAGAUAAAAGCCCGGGGCUCAACUCCGGUUCGUCUUAAAAACUGGUAGACUUGAGUGUGGUAGAGGUAAAUGGAAUUUCUAGUGUAGCGGUGAAAUGCGUAGAUAUUAGAAGGAACACCAGUGGCGAAGGCGAUUUACUGGGCCAUAACUGACGCUGAGGCACGAAAGCGUGGGGAGCAAAUAGG